GAUGAGUGAUUUAGUUAUUAAAAGCAGUUAAUUACAGAAUUAUAAUUAGAAUCUGGAGAAUCAGGGGAAAAUAUAUAGGAAUUGUAGAAGUUAAUUAAGGUGCCAUCACUGUGAUAGUUGUGAGCUGGGGUAAGCUUGGUGCUAUCUCUUUUCUUUUGUUUGUUAUUUUCUUUGAAUAAGAGGAUUGAGAGUUUUUGAAUAUUGUGAAGUGAAUUAUGGAAUGGAAAUGUGAUUGGUGUUAUUUGAGAAGAAGAAAGAUUGAAUGCUAAAAUCUGAUUGUAGUUCAACAUAGAGAAUGAGUCUGUGUUUGUGUGAAAUACCGUAAUGUGAAUGGUAGUUCUAUGUGAAGAAUUCCAGUGAUUGGAAUGAGGGUAAUUGUAUGAUGAAAGCUGUGAGGGCGCAGUAUUAUAGUUGGAGAUUAUGAGGGUGAAUAUAUUGGUGGAAAUAGCAGUUAUUGGUAUGAUUGAAUUGCUGUAAGGAAGAGAUCGAUAAGGUGAAGGAGGAGAUUAUAGUUUCCUUGUGUGUUGAGAUAUUGGAAAUAGAGAUAAUACGUUUAGGAGGUAAUUGAUUGUGUGACCCUAACAUGAACGCUUGAGCAACUAAUCAUUCUCUG
rnacentral:lncRNA from 1 species